UACAGAGGUCUCAAGCGUUGUUCGGAUUCAUUGGGCGUAAAGGGUGCGUAGGCGGCGCGGUAAGUCGGGGGUGAAAUCCUGGAGCUCAACUCCAGAACUGCCUUCGAUACUGGCGAUCUAGAGUCCGGGAGAGGUGAGUGGAACUGCGAGUGUAGAGGUGAAAUUCGUAGAUAUUCGCAAGAACACCAGUGGCGAAGGCGGACUCACUGGCCCGGUAGUGACGCUGACGGUGCGAAAGCGUGGGGAGCAAACAGGG
rnacentral:rRNA from 1 species